rnacentral:lncRNA from 1 species
ACAAAAUCAAAAUGUCAAAAAUUUUUAUAACGAUUUCUAUUUGUCUUUUUUUUGCAGGAUUUAUUUAUACAUGUGGUGGAACUUUAAAAGGACUUAAUGGCACCAUAGAAAGCCCUGGUUUUCCAUAUGGAUAUCCAAAUGGUGCGAACUGUACAUGGGUAAUAAUAGCAGAAGAACGAAAUAGAAUACAAAUUGUUUUUCAGUCAUUUGCACUAGAAGAGGAAUACGACUACUUAUCUUUAUAUGAUGGACAUCCUCAUCCUACGAACUUUAGGACAAGGUUAACAGGAUUCCACCUACCACCACCAGUGACAAGUACCAAAUCCGUGUUCUCACUACGGUUGACCAGUGACUUUGCUGUUAGUGCUCAUGGAUUUAAAGUAUAUUAUGAAGGUAAGUGAUGAUAAUAUAAAAGAUACCAAUUCCCAUACAUAUGUAAACAGGAGUUCUCCGAGUGUGAUAAUGGAAGACUACUUACUAUAGAAGCAUAAUGAAUGUUGUUGUUCACAUAUUUGUCCGAAAUCUUGUGAAGAGAUGGC